UAAAACAUAACGUUAAUUCAUCAGAUCCCAUUAGAACUUUUUACUUAAUCACACUCAUGUUAGAGUGGUACUGAGAUGGGUGAUCGCCCGAGAAGUCCUAGUGUUUUAC
rnacentral:rRNA from 1 species